rnacentral:lncRNA from 13 species
GCUCCUGUGCCGUCUUUUCCACAAACAGAUCUUGAAUGUCUCCGGCCCAACUCCAUUGGUUCAGGCAGUAGUGCCUCUACCUCCUGCAGCCACUCAUCUUCCUCCUCUGGACGAGGUUCUUUACCUCCUGUAGGUUACCCUGGUAACCAGAUACAAGGUGGGGAAACCAAUCACAUUGUCUAUUCCUCCCCGGAGACUGUGACUGAAGAUGACCCCAAUAACCAUCACAAUCACCAGAAACAAAACCUUCAUCUUCUCAUGGACAGCAUGGAGUCGUCAGGUGAGAGUGGCAGUGUGUUCAGCAGCUCGGAGUGCAGCUGCCUCUCUGCCAUUGGUGGAGAGGUGGAGGACUCGUCAUCUGUCCUGUCCCAGAGCUCCCAGUCCCGUGUCACCCAGAGAACAGCAGCACCCAAUCUCAGGAAGAACAGCUCCCCUGCUACGAUCAGGAAGAAGCCCUCCAUUGCUCCCAAACCACCAGUGCUAGCUGCUCCUCAGAGUCUGCAAAAGGGCAAAAAAAUGGUUGCUAUAGGAAAAUCAACAGAAGUUUAACCAGUGGAUUUAAUGGAUGGUUCAUCCUGUGGAUCUCUGAGCAGUGAUGAUGGAGAGCAAUACGGCUGACAGUCAAUUAAAAACUAUGAUAACAGACUGAAUGGACCCCUAGUUGACAGGCACUGAAGAGAAAGUGACUUUUUGUCUUUGAAGAACUAAUGUAUCUGGAAUAUUCUAGCUGAAAUAUCAUGAAAAGGAACACAUGAUGGAUUGUGGUCAGUUUUUAAAGUGCUUAUGUUGUCCAUUUAUCUAAUAAUACUUCUUAAGCAACCACUUCUUUAUCAGAUACUGCUUUAACUGAAUGGCUAUUGUUUUGCUGUCAUUGGUUCAUAGAACAUACUUUUUUUGUCUUUGUAACACUAGUAGUAUUUCAGCUGUUAACUUUUACAAGGGAUUUCUUUGGAAUUUACACAUCAUUCUCACCAUGUCAUGUUGACUCUCUUGAUGACCCCAUAUUGAUGACCCCAUCUCUUGAUGACCCCAUAUUCCCAUGAAAUGUCAAAUAUGGGUUAAUGUUUUUUUCUUCAAAUUACACACAUUUAACACUGUUUAUAAUGUACCGGUACACAUGUCAAACUCAAACAACUGACUAUAGAAACAGUUGUUCCCAUCAGUAUUCUCUGCAGGCUCAGGACAACUUGUCAGUGGCACUCUGACAUAAUUUCCUGCCCAGAUGUAUAGAUAAAUUAGGGAUCAACUAUUGAUGUCCAGGUGGGAUAGCAGAGGAGCAGCAAGUUACUUAAUAAUUUUUUCCCAUUUUUCCCCAGCUUUGUACUAUAUUGCUGUGAAAAAUGUCUGGAAAGGGAGAAAACCACUAAAUUGGAAUAAUUUAAGGGGUCCAUCUGGCAUUUUCCACUCAUCAGAAACCAGUGUCUUCAGAUUUCUCCAGUUGUUCUAAUAGUCAACAUAUUAAUUUACAAUAUUCAUUACAAACCAUGUAUAUUAUUGAGAUCUUUCUUUUCUGUGAAAACUGAAUGAGCAAUUUUGCUUAGGGCUAGGUUCUAUAAGAACUGCGGUAAACAACAUCUGCAUAGCGGUUGUUUUGGUGAUGCUGUUUUUUUGGGGGGGGGGGGGG